UACGGGGGGGGCAAGCGUUGUUCGGAAUUACUGGGCGUAAAGGGCUCGUAGGUGGCCAACUAAGUCAGACGUGAAAUCCCUCGGCUUAACCGGGGAACUGCGUCUGAUACUGGAUGGCUUGAGUUUGGGAGAGGGACGCGGAAUUCCAGGUGUAGCGGUGAAAUGCGUAGAUAUCGGGAGGAAUACCCGUGGCGAAGGCGGUCCACUGGGCAUCAACUGACGCUGAGGCGCGAAAGCGUGGGUAGCAAACAGG
rnacentral:rRNA from 1 species